rnacentral:rRNA from 1 species
CUGCAGUGGGUACGGGCAGACUAGAGUGCGGUAGGGGAGAUUGGAAUUCCUGGUGUAGCGGUGGAAUGCGCAGAUAUCAGGAGGAACACCGAUGGCGAAGGCAGAUCUCUGGGCCGUAACUGACGCUGAGGAGCGAAAGCAUGGGGAGCGAACAGGAUUAGAUACCCUGGUAGUCCAUGCCGUAAACGUUGGGCGCUAGAUGUAGGGACCUUUCCACGGUUUCUGUGUCGUAGCUAACGCAUUAAGCGCCCCGCCUGGGGAGUACGGCCGCAAGGCUAAAACUCAAAGGAAUUGACGGGGGCCCGCACAAGCGGCGGAGCAUGCGGAUUAAUUCGAUGCAACGCGAAGAACCUUACCAAGGCUUGACAUACACCGGAAACGGCCAGAGAUGGUCGCCCCCUUGUGGUCGGUGUACAGGUGGUGCAUGGUUGUCGUCAGCUCGUGUCGUGAGAUGUUGGGUUAAGUCCCGCAACGAGCGCAACCCUCGUUCUAUGUUGCCAGCGGGUUAUGCCGGGGACUCAUAGGAGACUGCCGGGGUCAACUCGGAGGAAGGUGGGGAUGACGUCAAAUCAUCAUGCCCCUUAUGUCUUGGGCUUCACGCAUGCUACAAUGGCCGGUACAAAGGGCUGCGAUACCGUAAGGUGGAGCGAAUCCCAAAAAGCCGGUCUCAGUUCGGAUUGAGGUCUGCAACUCGACCUCAUGAAGUCGGAGUCGCUAGUAAUCGCAGAUCAGCAACGCUGCGGUGAAUACGUUCCCGGGCCUUGUACACACCGCCCGUCCAGUCAUGAAAGUCGGUAACACCCGAAGCCGGUGGCCUACCC